rnacentral:rRNA from 1 species
AAUCAACGCUGGCGGCGUGCCUAACACAUGCAAGUCGAACGCGAAAGCCCCUUCGGGGGCAAGUAGAGUGGCGUCCGGGUGAGUAACACGUGGGUAAUCUACCUCCGGGUGGGGAAUAACUCGCCGAAAGGCGGGCUAAUACCGCAUAAUGCAGCGGCACCGAAUGGUGAUUAGUUGUUAAAGCGGGGGACCUUAGGGCCUCGCGUCUGGAGAGGAGCCUGCGGCAGAUUAGCUUGUUGGAGGGUAAUGGCCUACCAAGGCUGCGAUCUGUAGCUGGUCUGAGAGGACGGCCAGCCACACUGGCACUGACACACGGGCCAGACUCCUACGGGAGGCAGCAGUGGGGAAUAUUGGACAAUGGGGGAAACCCUGAUCCAGCGACGCCGCGUGUGUGAAGAAGGCCUGCGGGUUGUAAAGCACUUUC